GCAUGUUCCACCCAGGUGCCCCAUUCUCAGAUAUUUGGAUGUAAAUCUUUUUUGGCAAAUCAAACUUGUAUUUCACAGCUAUUCUCUCUUUAAAAUGGGGGUGGUGAGUAUCUUGUGAAGAGAGUCAUCAGUCUUGUGAAGUUGUUGGGGCCGGGGUGGGUGUGAAGUGGGAUGGAUUUCACAUAUAGGACCCAGAAAGCAAAAGCAAUUCAGUAAUGUUCUUCGACAUUUGAAAUAAGCUGGACUCCACCUUUCUCCAUUGUUUCCAGUUCCCUGAAGGGCCUUUCAAGAAAAGAGGGGCUCACACUGUAGCAGGAGGGUGGAUAUUCAGAAGCUCAAGGAGGCUGUGGGUCCUGGAAGGUCUCUGAAGCUGGCUCCAGGGUCUCCUCACUAGUGAGUCAUGUGUCCCUGCAACUUGAAGACAGCCUGCCCUCUCAAAGACUCUGAUGGAGAAGUUAAGUGACCUCAGGGACUCCAUAUGCCAAAGUGAGAAGGAGAGGCAAAGGGAACGUUGCUAAGAAUACAGUAGGAAAUGUCCCAGGAGGCAUUUGGGGUUUCUUGGCCAGAAUAAGGUUAAGGUCAUGAGAGAGUAGAAUCUUUGGGUUGAAAGCAAUAGUAUAUGGGGGCAGGGGGGAGCAGGGACAGGGCACCCUAGAAGACAAGUUCUGAAUCCAGGGUAUCAGGAGCACUUGGGAGCUUUUGUAAAACACAAACUCCUGCCCCCAUCCCCACUUCCACAGAAAGAUAGGUUAGACUCUCCAGAGGCAGGGAAAUGCUGCAGGGUUUCAAAGGUGGGGGUGAAGAGACGGGGCAACGGGGGAAAAAGACUAGGCCUGGGCCUUAGUCAACAGAGAGAAGGAGUCUGGGUGCAGCUCUUUUAAGAGCAUAUGUAACUGAUAAAUCCUAUGUCGGGCUGGUCCUAGAGUUUUAAGUCCUCUCCUAUUCUAAAGGUCAGGAAAUUCUGGUCCUAAUGUCAGUGCUGUCAUCUAGUGGCUCUGUGAUCUUAAGCAAAUCACUUCACCUUUCUGAGUCUCAGUUGCUUCUGUUGUAAAAUUAAGGAAUGGUUGCUAAGGUCUCUUUCCAGCUCUGAAAGUAUAAGUCAAUGGUGCUAAAGAUUGUUAUGGCUUCUCCAUCAUGAGCUGGUGUAUCACAUUCAGAAGACCAGAGCCUAGGUGCUCUUCCUUUCUUUGUGGACUGUUGGGAUUCAGCUGACCUGGGGCCAGCUAGUCUGUCUGCCAGCUUCCAGGCCAGAGCCAUGCCUAAUUACUUGAUAGAGCUUUCCCCAAAGUGGAGCACUGCUUCUGUGUGAAUAGAAUUAAUUAAAUUAGAAAAUAUAAAAUAAGGGUUCCAUGGCCCAAUGAAUUUGAGUAUCUGGGUUAAACACAUUUAACAUUUUCUUUUUUCUCAGGACUUCUCAGAGCAUCAACAAACCAAUAUGCAUUUUGAAUCUCUUAAAGGGGGAAUAAAUGGAAUUUCCCAAACAAAUUUGAUCGUGGGAUCCACUUUUCUAAGGAGCAACCCUUAAAAACAGCAACAACUCCAAGUUAGAUGGUCCUUACUCACUUUUUCCCCAAAUUCUUGACCUUCAAGAUGGGAAGGAGUGUUUCCACUCUUCCUCCUCUGGAAUCCCAAAGGCAGUCAGUCUUUUGUCACAGUCUCCCUAGCGCAGCCUUGCAGGCAGUGCCAAUGAUUUUUGCUAAUUGCUAUUGAAUUCCCAUUGAAUUGACACCCCUCACAGUUCCCCAUGUCAAUCCCCCAUGCCUCCCUGCAGCAGAUGCUCACAGAUUGCCCCCUUUACCUCAAUAUCUGAGAGGUAGAGACAGACAAGUCAACAUGGGCUCCUCUGAGCCCAGAGCUUCCUCUUGGUGGCUUGGUCUGAGGAUCACUGUGGCUGGAUUGACAGGUAGUAGCUGUUGAUUCUCUGGUUUGGGGUUAAUUUUCUAUAAGAGACAGGAAGAAAGCUGCUGGAGUCCUUCACCUUAGGAAUAUAUACGUCCUGGGAUGGAAAGGCAUGGGGAGCGGAGCGACAGACGGAGAGAGGCUUGAGGACACAAAGGAGGAAACAUGCCAUUGCCAAGACCCCAAGGAAGAAGGACAGAGAGCGCUGGCAGUCCUGUCUGGCCCCCAGCCAGUUUCCUGCUGAAGAUGGCCAAAUCCUCUUGCCUGGUCUGUGCUGCUCAUCUGGGUCCUGUAGCGCCGCUGCCCCAUUCCAUCUGGAACCCCGACCCCACUUCCUGUUCCUCCACUGCUUCCCCCAGCCCCAGGAGACUCUGGUUCGGCCAGACUGGAAGCAGAUGAAUCGCUGAGAUCCCCUGCAGAUGGACUGCAAGCCUCGCUCUCUGGGGUGCUUCGAAACUGGCCUUUCCUCUCCCGGGCCCUGGUGUUCUGGAACCAGACCUGCACCACCCGCUUUUUGAGUCCCACCUCCUCGGAGAUGCAGUCAAGCAUCUUGCGCGUUGGGUUGGAGUCUUGCAUGUACCAACGGUACAGGAUCUCCAGCUGCUCGGGCAGGAUAGUGGCUUUCCCUUCCCAUGGAAGCUAACAUGCUCCGGGGGGUUACUUUCUUCAGAGAUUUCUCACCACCUGAUAUUUCCUGGUUUACUUACUUCUCCCUUCUAGACGAUGAGGCAGCCAAGAAACAGGUUGAGUGAGCUGCUAACUGUCACACAACUCCAAGGAGGGGAAACCAGAGGACUGGCGGGGCACAGAGACCUGGGCCCUCCAUCUACCUGGAUCGUCCCUCAGACCCAGGAAAGGCCAAAUGAGCCUCCAGAGGUCUAGCAGUCAGGAUUCCGGGGCUCCCUCCAGCUACUAGAAACACCAGGCCUCCCACGCUGCUCCCAGCCUUUUUACCUUGAUUACCACACCUUCCUCCCCCUCCGCACCCCCCCCCCCCGCCCCGCUUCCCGUCCCCACCAAACUCACCAGUUCCCCAUGCUUCACCAUCCCAUACUUUUCCCAAUGUCCCAAGUGGCUUGCAUCCACUCCAGGUCUUAAUUAUCAGCCAAUCUCUAAUGAUUAAACCUUUAGCGUUCAAGCCCAUGCUUCCAGAAGGGAUGUGGUCUCUCCUUCCUUCCUUGGGCCACCUCUAACGCUCACCUUCAGAUUCUUUGAUUAGGAAUGGGUCUUCGGCCUGGCCCCACCCAGCCUGCAGGCCCCCUUUCCCACUUCCCCCCCUCCUCCUAGGGGGCUAGCCAGGCGUGAAGUCAGAGCCAUUAAGUAGCUCCGCGUGGGGCUGGAUCAGCAUGCUAAUGAAAAUGCAAAUCAGCACCUGGGCAAGGGGUGGAGGGCUGGGGGGUGGGGGGAGGUAGCUGGAGAACCGGGAGGGAAGUAAAGGUAUUAGAUGGAGGGGUUAUCCUAGAUAACCAGAAAGCAGAAGCCCGAAACUGGGAGAAAGGUGUCUCUCCUACGGAAUCCUUGGGGGUAGGGGGUAAAUGCGCUGGCUCACGAGGGUCUGACAGUCCACUGUUACCCCUCACAGUGGGGGCCCACCACCCUUUCGCUGCCCCACCUGGUGGGAAGAAGUGAGGCUGGGCAAGCCGGGCUUCUCCCGGGCCCUGCCACCGAGGGCUGACCCGGGUGGUGCUUCAUCCCCGCUGGGCCACCGCGCCUACAUCACAUCGAUCAGCUGCUUCCUCCUGGCUCCUGAUUCACAACUCCAGAUCUAACUUCAGAGGAGGUGCUAGAACGACCUAAGCCCCAAAUCCUCUCUCCAAAGCUUCUACUUCCCAGGACUGGAAAAAAACCCAGCUGAUUCUUAGUUAGAAACCAAAGGAGUUUAGCUCUGGGCUAGCUCGUGGGUGAGACCCAGACCGCCAAGGGUAGGUCGGCAGCUGUUUAAAAUUGCAAAUCUCUUCCCCACCUCCCUCCUCCUCCUCCUCUACAGGAAAGAAUUUCAAUUGCAAAUUUAUCUCUGCCUCAGUGCACCCCCCAGCUCCCCCCCUUUUCUUCUCCACGCUUCUCCCAUCACCCUCUAUUUAUUACAAACCUUUAACUGCAGCAAUGAUAUUUUUUUCACUUUUUCUUUCCUCCUUCCAUUUCCCUCCUCCUCAAUCUUUUCCUCCUUCCCUCUCUGAAUCUCUGUGUCCCUCUCUUUGCCCUUCCUACCUUGAACUCAGUUUUCAGCUCUUUCUGGAGAUGAUGCAGAGCCGGAUGACAGACCAAGUCACCCUCCACCUACCACCUCCAGGCCAAGAGUCAUGUUCACCCUCAGACCACUGCCAUUCCUCCUGUAGUUCCGGGCUUUCCUUAAGGGUGUCUCCUCUCCCUUGGGGCACAUCUCAGAGAGCCGGGUCCAUGGUUAUUGCUCAGGAUGAGAAGAGAAGGCUGGAAGUGCUACUUUCAAAGCUCAGCUAGGGAGGAGUUGCCCCCCAAACAUAAUCACUGAACUGCAAACAUUGUUCCAUGGGAGGUGUGCAGAAAUGCACCCAGUAAAUAGCUGGACAAGAAUUCCUCCUUCUUGAUAAAUGCUCCCUAUUCGGGGGGCAGAUCCACCGUGCUUAAAACAGGAAGAAGCCGGGGAGCUGGGAGGCUCCAAGACGGACAGUAGACCCAGAAAGCUACCGAGAGAGAGAAAGAUGUUAAGAGAUGGACUGAAAGGGUUGGAUAUGAAGUUACGGACAUCUGAAAAGGUGGGCUCUGAGACCGCACAAGGCAGGGAGAACACAGUGAGGCACAAGAGCCAAAGGAGCAAGGGCAAAGGAAGGACCGAAGAAACGCGGCCCGAGGACAGAGAGACUCUAUCCCUCCCCGAGGAGGAACUAGGGCACGGGUGCAGCAAAUGGAGGCAAAGCCAGCGACGGGAGCUCCCGUCUGGAGCCCGGCAAGACCAGGGCUACCCUUGGAUGGCGCCCCCUUCCGCCCCAAGCAGGCCACCGAGAGGAGAAGAAACACUACUGCUCCCUAGUGGUUAUGGAAGGAACAUCACCAAGGAGAAAACAUGCCAGUCCAGGCAAACAGAUUGCCUUUCUCUUCCCCCUCCUCUCCUUAAACCAGAAUCCCACUUAAAGCAAAAUCCCACUCCCUUCUUUUCUCCAGACGCAAGGACAUGGCAAAGAGUUUCCCAGAAAGUCUACCAGAUGCCACCAGCAUAUUUGCUUAAAAUUUGCAUACAAUGAUUUCCACAUCAGAGCCUUCCAAACAGUUUUGCCUUUCACUUUUCCAACUGUUGGAUCUAUCCCCUCUCCCUUACUGAAGAGUCCAUUUUUAGGACCUUUCCUCUUCUUCCUCUGUCUGAAAUUCUUGCCUAGGGCACUGCCCUCUUCCACACUCAUUUUGCCUCUUGCCCCUUUUUGUCUCAACCUGUUGCUUUUAAGAGGCAGAAGCCUUGGAGAAGAGGGGAAAAGAAAAAGGAAAUAUAGAGUGCCCUGCCUAACAGGGAUUGUUUGGUAUAGACAAUAAACUCUAACUUGAUGAGCUUGAUUUUUAAAGCAGUGUAAGAACAUGGGCUAUGGAUUCAUGCAGCCCCAGGUUCAGUGCUGGGCUGCUUCCCCCACUCACCAGCUAUGCAACCUUGGUAAGUUACUUGCAACCUGGGAAAAUGGGAAGAAUGAUCCCUUCCUUUCUGGCCUUCUGGGUGAUCAGUCAGGCUGGUUCUUUUCCUUCUGUCUUGGCUAGCUCCUCCCACAGAGCAGAGUGAGGUGUUCCCAGGUGGGUGACAACUUUCCUUCUGCUUGGCUCCUUCUUGACCAGGACUCAUCCUCUAAUUUCUGCCCUUUUCAAAAACGGAGGGGAGAGUCUUCAGUGGCCAGGAUUUAAAGCUAAGUCUGCCCAGCAGCAGAGUUCAUUUCUCACUUGGCCCUCUCGAUUGCCAGGCCUCAAGACACCCCAUCAUCUGAGAGCAGAGAAUGGAAGCCUUGUCCAAGCUCACAGUUGGACCGGGUGCAAAAGCAGUUAAUACCUGGAUCAAAACUAUAUGGCCACUCCCUUCAUUUAAAACUAUCAUUUUCUCAGGGCGCCUGGAUGGUUCAGUCGAUUAAAUGUCCAACUCUUGAGUUUGUGGGUUCCUUGCUGACAGUGUGAUGCCUGCUUGGGAUUCUCUCUAUCUGCUCCCUCCCCUGCUCUCUCUCGCUCUCUCAAAAUAAACAAAUAAACUAUCA